GAUGAACGCUAGCGGCAGGCUUAAUACAUGCAAGUCGAGGGGCAGCACAGGUAGCAAUACUGGGUGGCGACCGGCAAACGGGUGCGGAACACGUACACAACUUACCUUAGAGUGGGGGAUAGCCCAGGGAAACUUGGAUUAAUACCCCAUAAACCAGGGGGCCCGCAUGGGCAUAUUGUUAAAGAUUUAUCGCUUUAAGAUGGGUGUGCGUAUGAUUAGGUAGUUGGUAGGGUAAAGGCCUACCAAGCCGACGAUCAUUAACUGGUGUGAGAGCACGACCAGUCACACGGGCACUGAGACACGGGCCCGACUCCUACGGGAGGCAGCAGUAAGGAAUAUUGGUCAAUGGACGGAAGUCUGAACCAGCCAUGCCGCGUGAAGGAUGAAGGUCCUCUGGAUUGUAAACUUCUUUUAUAGGGGGCGAAAAAGGGCCUUUUUAGGUCAACUGACGGUACCCUAUGAAUAAGCACCGGCUAACUCCGUGCCAGCAGCCGCCGUAA
rnacentral:rRNA from 1 species